GGAAGGGUUACAGCUCAGUGGUAGAGUAACUAGCUGCCUUGAAAGCAGAAGCCCCUGCGUUCAAACCCCAGUACCAUCUCCA